AGCUCCUUGUACCCAGGCCCAGAUGCCUUAAUGGGGGCAUUUGAAAUUUUGCGGGACAAGCCCCCCAAAGACCACAUGGGCCUAUCGAUUUGCGCCUUCCUCCUGUGUUUUCCCAUAGGCAUUGUAGCCUUGAUCUUCUCUGUCCAGACAAGGCACAGCAACAUGUGGAAUAACAGAGCCUUGGCAGCCGAGACCUCCCACCAAACCUACUACAUUGCAGUCUUGGGGAUUGUUUUAGGAAGCCUCAUCACCCUCACCAUCUUGAUACUCCUCAUGAUGGACUUAUUUGCUCGUUAACCUCCUUUUCAGCAAACUACCAAAUAUAUACA